rnacentral:tRNA from 1 species
GACUGCCUAGCUCAGUUGGUAGAGCGCUGGAGUAUAAAUCCGGAAGUCGUGGGUUGAAAGCCCGCACGCAGUCG